rnacentral:lncRNA from 1 species
AAUUUUUUUGUGGAAAGUUUGUUAGACUCGGAGAAUUUUCUGAAUGGUCGUCAUUGUUAUUAAGAGGCAAAUACAUGAUUGCAACGAGAACACCAAAUUGUGAGAUCUUGCACACAUAAAAGUACAACAUAAAUUUCAAAGAGAAACUGGAGCCAACACACUAGUUUCUUAAACAUUCUCUCUUUGAUUAUUUCAUUCUCAUGAGUACAUAUAGUCAAAAUUCUCUACAUUUCUCAAAUAGAACAUGGUGGAUGAGCAUAAUUGGUACUUACUAGAUCUUUGCUAUUUUGCUUUUGAUUCCUUUUCUCGUAAAGUACAAAGUCUGAGGUAUUUGGGCUUGACUUUGUUUAAUGAGAAUUUCUUUUUGUGCCCCUUGUCUUUCUCGUGCAACUCCUAUUUUUUCAAUUUUACCUUUUUCGCAUGUUAAAUAGUGAGGGUGUAUAAACACAAAAUUUAGAAAUCUAUUUUUUU